GCCCCCGCAGACUUCCAAAGGGCUGAUUAAUGCAGGCUGCCGUCUUCUCCAUUUUUACAGCUCCUGUUCCAUAACAGCCUCACAAAUGACAUUUCUGUGGUAAUGGUGCACAAGAGAAAAGCUUGAAACAGCAGAGCAGAAGUCUGUAAAACAAAGAGUGUGAUAUCAGGCUAGUCAAAGCUGCAAGGUCACUACAAA